rnacentral:rRNA from 1 species
GCUUAACACAUGCAAGUCGAGGGGCAGCAUGGUCUUAGCUUGCUAAGGCCGAUGGCGACCGGCGCACGGGUGAGUAACACGUAUCCAACCUGCCGUCUACUCUUGGAUAGCCUUCUGAAAGGAAGAUUAAUACAAGAUGGCAUCAUGAGUCCGCAUGUUCACAUGAUUAAAGGUAUUCCGGUAGACGAUGGGGAUGCGUUCCAUUAGAUAGUAGGCGGGGUAACGGCCCACCUAGUCUUCGAUGGAUAGGGGUUCUGAGAGGAAGGUCCCCCACAUUGGAACUGAGACACGGUCCAAACUCCUACGGGAGGCAGCAGUGAGGAAUAUUGGUCAAUGGGCGAGAGCCUGAACCAGCCAAGUAGCGUGAAGGAUGACUGCCCUAUGGGUUGUAAACUUCUUUUAUAAAGGAAUAAAGUCGGGUAUGGAUACCCGUUUGCAUGUACUUUAUGAAUAAGGAUCGGCUAACUCCGUGCCAGCAGCCGCGGUAAUACGGAGGAUCCGAGCGUUAUCCGGAUUUAUUGGGUUUAAAGGGAGCGUAGAUGGAUGUUUAAGUCAGUUGUGAAAGUUUGCGGCUCAACCGUAAAAUUGCAGUUGAUACUGGAUAUCUUGAGUGCAGUUGAGGCAGGCGGAAUUCGUGGUGUAGCGGUGAAAUGCUUAGAUAUCACGAAGAACUCCGAUUGCGAAGGCAGCCUGCUAAGCUGCAACUGACAUUGAGGCUCGAAAGUGUGGGUAUCAAACAGGAUUAGAUACCCUGGUAGUCCACACGGUAAACGAUGAAUACUCGCUGUUUGCGAUAUACAGCAAGCGGCCAAGCGAAAGCGUUAAGUAUUCCACCUGGGGAGUACGCCGGCAACGGUGAAACUCAAAUGAAUUGACG